UGAUGUCAAAACUUAAACUGCUCGAUCCGUGAGAUGUAGUGAGAAUUAGGCAAUUUAGAUUACAUAUCCAUGAUCCUGGCACUUAGACCUUUCCAAUGGUUACCUGCUUGCAAAUUUUGGUGAAGUUUCGUGGUUUUGGAUUUCUGGAAAUUAGGGAUGAAGAUGAUGAUGUUCUUGGUGAAAUCUGGAAAAAUAGCUU
rnacentral:lncRNA from 1 species